CUGCUUUUCGUUAAUCUGCUGCUCGACCGCGAUGCGGAGGCCGUCGUCCAGGACCAGUGGGGAAGCAUGGCGAGUCUACUUUAAAGUUUUGACUAUUAAAACUAAUGAUAAUAUUGUGCCUAUGUUACAUGCUUGCUAACAACAAUAUUAUGUGCUAACAAAACAUCUGCACGUGAAAUGACCAACAUAUAUCCAAAUAUGAAUUUUGUACUGAUCCGCCAAAGAUACGGGACGAGGACACCUACCUGAGGAGAGGUGAUGCUGAUUUACCACGUGCUAGCUGCUGGAGAAGGCACGAGGGGAGCUGUAUCAUAGGCAUUGGUGUUGUGACCACAGGUGUUGCAGUGGUCGACGACCAACAUAUAUCCAAAUAUCUGAACAAAUAUGUGAUUUUCUGAUUGGUAGAAACCCCCUUUUCCCGAACCUGCAGGUAAUAGCAGAUCAAUCUUCCGUCACUUUGAAGCUCAUAUUCUGUUCCAUUACACGUAUGAGAUGGUGGUAGUGUGGAAUUGCUUUUACAUCAUGUCCUAUCACUGUGAAGGCAUGCACUUUUGCAUAUUCCUCGCUUUGGUGUUCAAGUGCCAUUACAAACAAGGGCAUGUUUGCUUUUCUACUUCGAAAUUGAAUGCUAACUUUUUAUUGGUAAUAAAUAUGUGUUAGAAUAGGAGGUUAGAGCAAAAGCCUAUCAGUAAAUCAAUCGAUCUUUCUCUAUGGUUGUAUACUUGAAGGGCUGCAAUUUGAACCGUUAUUCCUUCUCUACAAUGGACGGGCGCAACAAUGUGCGCCUUGUUUGCCUCUGGAUGGUGCUUUGCUAAUUAUAAUUCAAAGUGGUCUUUCCCUCUUGUCUGGUGCUUUGCUAAUUAUAAUUCGAAGUGGUCUUUCCCUCUUGUCUGAUCUGAUUUUCUGGUGAAAACAGUAGUGGAUUUUGACCCUGGGUGUCUGUGGCUUUGCAGACGAAUGUUUUACUACACAUGGUGUUAACUAAGCGCAUGAAGAUUAUGCCUUCUUCAAUGCAAUAUUAUGCUGACACUUUUGAGAGAGGAGAAGAAAGAGAGGGCGACAUGCUGGCCGACGACGAUGCAGCCUCGGAAGAGGAGGAGGAGAAGAAAGAAGAAAGAGAGGGUGAGAAGAGUUCGAUUCUGGUCAAGAGAUGCCAUGGGGAAGAUGCUGGCCUUAUUUCUCACACCCCGAAAGUCACAUUACUUCUAUGAACCAGAAGAACUAGAGAAGGGUAACUUAACGUUGUAUUCAGAUCUGGGUCGACAUAUGAAGACGUGAGAGCUAAAGCAAAUAGACUGCGAGGUUAUCAGGAUACUGGAGAAAUGGGUUUUGCUUUAGUCCUUGUUAAUGGCACUGGUUUUUCUGGUGCGAGUAAAGCCCGACAGUGGUGUACUCCAGGCAAUGUGAAGCUGGGACUUCCCUAUCAGGCGUGACCUUGUAGCCAAAUCCAUGAGGAGUCGGAGGCAGUUGCAGCAACUAACCAUGAAGCGACGGCAGAGAUCCAGUUUAUCUGUCUGACCAGCACAAGGUGGCAACAACAGUAGUGGAGAAGGCAUGAAGAGGCCCACAUCUGAAAAUCCGUUCUGCUGACUGAUCAAGGGAGAUGGUCCCAGCAUCCACUGUGACAAUGUUGUCCAGAACAUGGACUCUGGAAACUGAAAAGUAACAGAUUUUGCUUCCAGGCGCAUAAAGGCCACCGAUCGGAUCAGCGCGAAGAAACCCGUUCGGACCGCCGCCGCAAGCCUCACCUCAGCAACGGAUCAACCUCUGCACCUACAUCCACUUCGACAGGUCCUCAGUCAAAGCAGGUCCACUUCGACUGUCCCGGUAGAGGGCUGCUUACAACUGAUGUCCGCAACUCGCCGCCGUAGUUGUGCUGCUUGCAUUAUGCUUGGGCUGCUCUGGAAUUAUUUAGAUUUCAGUUCGUGGACUUUAUUACUCAUGUGUUCUUUUAGUAGGCCUAUACAAACACAAUUGUAUUAUGGCUGAUCUGUUUCCUCUUUUGUUGCAGUUGUCGUGCCUAGGAAAAUACGAAAUAUUUAGAGUUUGGUUCUUUUGAGUUAGCUUAGUGAUGUUACAUGAUCUUAUUGUGCCCUUUUGAUUGAUUGUAGUAGAAGACUGUUAAACUUGGAGAUGAUUUCUUUGAUGUAACCACAAUAUAUCAUACAAAGUUAUUAUUUGAGGAAAAAUGUUUCUUCUCAGAAUAAUAGAUUUGCAUAUGUGCCAAACUAACAAUGCUUUAUAUUUUCAAACUGGGCGCUUACACCAGACGGCAUGAUAAAUUUUACCCACUCAUUCUGAAACAGGCACUGGUUGGAACUUCUUAAGAGGAGUACCGGUUUAACUCUGUAAGGCAGCUAGAGCAGUCCCGACACCUUCAAAUGUUUCUUCUCUGGAGAAUGCGUCAAGCAAAAAAGUCUAAUUGUUGGUGAAGAUAUAGCUUAAAUUACAGCUAUUUUCCAUCCCUUUUCAAUUGUUAGUGAAGAUAUAGUCGAGAUUACAGCUAUUCUGCAGACCUUUUCAGUUGUUAGUGAAGAUAUAGCUUAUAUUAUACUCCCUCCGUUCCAAAAUAGACGACUCAACUUUGUACUAACUUUAGUAAAAGUUAGUACAAAGUUGAGUCAUCUAUUUUGGAACGGAGGGAGUAGCUAUUUGAUAGCCCUUUGCUUAGUGUGUUUAUACUUCUUAUUAAUCAGCGCCUAAAUAGUCCGUUUGUACAAGCUCAUAAAUGCUUCUUUCGGCUUUUCCUGGUACCUAAAAAAUAUUCUAUGUAUAUAUCCUUUUCGAACUGCUUUAUGGUUAUGUAUAACUAUGGAAUCCAUCGUCCUGUGUUGAGACAAUGUAAUCUACCUAUGUUGCACCUAUGUUUUUUCCCGUUGAGAUUCUUCCUUGCAAUGCCUUCGCUAUGCAUGUGCAUUUAUAUCUAUCUUUGCUUAGGUGAAAGAGAACAUAAUAAGUUCAUAUCUCACCUCUGUUCUCAAUUCUCUUGCGUUUCAGCCAACACAUUACUUCGUGUCCUAUCAUCUUCUGCUUGCUAUUUUGCUGGUGCUCUACUGCCUCUGAUGAUCUACUGACUCAUGCUUUUCUUGCUGUUUAGUGAAGGUCCUUUCCGAAAAGCUUUGAUACGACAUGUGCGCUGGAAAGCUCCAUCUUGUUGUUGGACUUGGUGAAGCUAAUGGGCCCGAGGUCGGUAAGAAGAGUUGGAUGCCUCCAUCUUAUGCUGGUGGUCCGCGCUGUAUGACUGAAAACUUCUAUGAUGGGGUGGCUGUUUUGCGUAUGCAUGCCUCGCCUGAUAUAAUCACAACCUUCACAUGUAGUCCAAAGUGGCCUGAAAUAACGGAGAGUACUGAACCUGGGCAAAAAACAGUCGAUAGGUCUGACAUUACCGUUCGAGUGUAUCGCUUGAAACUUCUUGAGUACCUACAGAAAAUGAGGACAGGGAGGAUGUUUGGGCCUAUAGUUGCUGUUAUCCACACAGGGGAGUUUCAUAAGAGGGAGCUGCCGCAUGCGUGUGUCCUUGUUUGGCAAGAGAAGCAUCAUGACCGGGUGGUCACACCAACUUCAUAAAUUCCUUUGUUUCAAUCACUGGUUCUCAACUGACUGAUAUUGAUGCUGAUGCUCCUGCUACUAUGCCUCCUAACACGAUGGAAACUACAGUUCCUAUGCCACUUAAGCUUAACAGGGGUGCUACUGCUGCUGCUUUUUUUUUUGAACCGGGCGUGCCCCUUUCCAUUUAAGAUAAAUGGAAAUACAACAGUCUCCGAUACAACCAGGAAGCAAGGAAAGAGAGGCAGCGAGUUCAAUGCACUGCCAGGAAACCCACUGUGCUCGCCCGCCAUCGAAACGAGCACCAUGGGGCGAAAACCUGACAUCACCUACUUAGUUUGAAUCUAGCUAUUACAAACCAGGGAAAAGGCACAAACAAAGAGGUGCCAGAUAACAUAAAGUAUGUAGACUUCAUUUCAUCAAAAACGCUGAAGUAGUGGUUGAUCCAAGUUUUCAGAUAAGCAUGCAUGUGUGGUACGUCUAUUCCUGCAGCUUAUAGUCCCUUCACUGAUUUGUUCAUGCCUUGCUUUUGGUUAUUUUAAAAUUGCCAUGUUUUACAGCCUGUUGUCUUUAAAAUGCUAAGAACCCAUAAAUGUUGUCUUUAAAAUGAUAAGAACCCAUAAAUGCUGUUAGAUCCUUUUAAAUUCCUUAACUGGUUUAUCUCUUCCUUGUGCAUCCAUGCAACUGAUACACUGUAUAAUGGGCUUUAUUACAAUGGCAAUUUAACUCUUAUAAACUUGCCAAUGCCAUGUCGAUCUCUUGCCUUAUGAGCUAUCCUGUCUUUUGCAUCAGCUUUGUUCGCUAAAUUGGUCCUCGCAACCUUUGCUGUGGCUACUAAACCACCACCUGCAAGGACAAGUGAAGACUGCUACCCUGUUGCUGUCCUCAUACGCUUGUAUUUUCAGUGUUUUGAACAAACCCAGGCUUUAGCACUAAUAAAGGUAGCCUGGACAACAAAGCCGUUUUCAAUAUCCAUGAAACGUGCAACGAUGACUCCAUCUAAUGUUCGUCGCCUCAUAAGAUGUAUCUCUAGCUAUCUACCAUGCUUCCUAAUAACAUUGUAAAUAAUCGAUCAAAAACUUCUUAUAACCACUAUGUAUCAUCACUAAGUAUCUAUCUACCAGCAGUAAGUAUUUAUUA